GUGUGGACAGCCUACACCAAGGGAAGAGUCAGGGGAGAAGGAACACAAGACUCCGGAAGCAUGCCAGCGUAUAAAACCACUUGGGACAGAACUGGAGUCAGAGAUACCAAUUUGGGAAGGAGAAGGAUCUAGUGACAGAAACUUGGGAGUGCCCAGUGGACACUUUGCCUCAUUGGUUCGUGCCUCAGCUUCCAAUCUGGACAUGGAGCACAAUAACAGUGGGCCCACUGCUCUCCGAAUUCCUGCGCGCACUUGAAGGGAGUGUCUGGUGCAGGCAUGCAGGGAGGAAGAAUGACUCUGAGCUUGACCAUUCAACUUCGAAACUUUAACAUCAAUGGAUCAGCACACACUGGUGUACGGUCUGCUAUGCAUGCAGCCCUGUGCUAGGCAAAAGAAGUAUCAGACCAGGAACUGACAGCCUCACUGCAACAGGAAGAGAGGCUUCACACAAUAAGCGUUUCAUUCAACCAGGCUGGACCUGUGCUUAUUGAGUUGAACAUCACUGAGCACAAAAUGCAAGCCAGACACCAUAAGAGCUGUAAGGAUGAUAAAGAUGUCUUUCUACCCUCGAGAGCUCUAAGUGUGGUCAGGAGAGAAACACAUGCAAAGAUUAUGCUGGCUGGAAGGAAAUGCUGGAAUGAAGGUGGAAGGUACAUCCAGAAUGUUCUGGGGGUGAGGAAUAGCGAAUGAUGGGUUCUGACUUAGAACAUGAAGGGAAGGUAUUAAGAAAGAGGUGAUAUUAAGCAUUUAUUGAGCAUCUCUACUUUUUUUGUGUAUGUGACCUUGUUUGGAAAUACAAUAUCUCUUCUUGAUGCUGGCAAAAAAAAAAAAAAAAAA
rnacentral:lncRNA from 1 species